UCCUGCGGCCGCAUGCUGAGGCACUUGCGUGUCUAUUCCGGCCGGCGGCCUGGACACGCGGCGCACGCCUGCGGGGAUGCGGCACUCUGGCCGGCGCCCAGGACGUGUGUUACUCGCCCUCAAGCCUCCGCAUCCGAACGCAAGCAAGCAGACUGAAUGGUCCUCUUUCUAUCGCUCGCGCCGCAGCUGCGUAUCUUGACGGUUGGUGGCGUCUGUGAGGAUUGGGCUGGAGAUGGAGGCAAUGGCAGCGUCGAUUUGGCGACGGCUCCGGCAAGUAUGGAGGGGUUUGCUAGCGAUGGACCAACUGCAAUGCAAUGGUGUUUUCCUUUCUUUCGCCGAAAAGUUAAAAUGACUUCUCAAGUGUGGCUAGGAUCUGUGUCCGCUUUUGGCCAUGAUAAUCUAGUGGCACGGUUCAAUUCAAAUUGCCAGAAUUUAGAGCAUCUUGUUGGUGACACUAUGUUUAGCUGUGGUUGGCUCAAUGGUGCGACUCUAGUUUGCCAAACCUUUUAAGUCUAUGCCACUUUUGCGCUCUUAAAAUUUCCCCGUAAAAUUCAAAUGCAAAUAUCAAAAGAGACUGUUUUUACCACCCCGUAUGGACACACUCCAAGAGUCCACGAAUCAGGCUUCCUAGAAUCCGAUGGCUGAGAUACCUACGAAAGUGCGAAUCCACCAAAACUCUACGCUCUCUGCCCCCCUCCUGGCUUCCUCUUUCCGACUCUCCCCCGAGAUCCCAUCCAUGGGGUAUCCGCGGCUCGCCUCCGGGUGUGAUCCCGUCAGCGCGCGGCACGCCUAUGCGCCUCCCAAUCCCCACCGGUUGGCCCAGUCCGGAGGCCCGGCCUCUCCAUCUCCCGACCGCACCAGCCGGCACUGAGGCGCAGCAACAACAGCGCCCGGGCGGCGGGCGAACCCUAACGGCGGCCGGCGAGCGACGGCGCGGCACAGCUCGGCUCGGCUCGGCUCGGCUCUGCUCGGCUCAGUGGGCAGCCGGUCUAGUGGGCACCGGGCGGACGGCGAGGUGGAGUCUCGCGGCGAGGGCGCAUUGUCCGGUGGCCUGCGUGUGGCGACUGCAGCUCGGCUUGAAGCAUCGGACGGACGGACGGACGGAGCGGAGCGGAGCAGCGCUGCAUGCCUAGGCCCACGGAAGUAGUGAGCAUUUAUCUACAGUGAGCGAUUUCAUUUCUAUGCGAUCAGAGAUUUCAAUUCUCUGCAUUGCGGCAGUGAGCAUUUCUUGAAUUUGAGCCAGCCCCAAAAUCCUGGGCCCGCCCCUACUCGCCGGAGGUGGAGAGGAAGCAGCAGGUGAUCGGGAAUGCGGCGACAGCGUGUCGGCUCCGGCAACAAAAGGCGACGGUCAGCCCAGGGCUACGGCAUCUUGACAGUCGCUCCGCUCCCGCACGCAUGAUUAAUGUGCUGCUUUUACUCGUAGCUUGCACGGGAGUGAUUCUUUGAUCUAAUUCUUCACAUCUUCUCUGACUGCUAUGUGUGCACACCUACACAACAAAAAUAAUCAAUGUAUGGUAGUUAAUUGACCAUUGUAAUAAAUGAUAAAUUAUCGAUAUUGCAUAAAUUUUUAUAUACCUAAGAUUUAUAUCUUGCAGGAAUUCUUCUAAUUCUUGAUGAUCUGUAAAGAGUUGGACGAUCAUCUCCAUGCAGGGGACCUGUAAGACAUGAAGAAGAGGUGGCAUGAGGUAAUACCUGAGCUUGAUGGACAAAAGAUAGGUUGUAGAAGUAAUCAGAUUGUUAAUACCUCGGUCGCAAGCAACAGGUUGGCAGAGGGAGUAUCCGACUCGUUGUGCCCCCCGGCGUCGAGGCGCUGCCUCAGCGUGAAGGGAUGUUGAAGAAGGAGGGAAGCUAUCUCCGGCAGCUGACACGCAGAAAAUAAGCCCGUAGUAAUUGUUGUUUGAAUCUGCUAUUUUGCCAUCUAUUUAUUUAUAAAGCUGCAAUCCUUUUUCUUGUCAGAGUUCUAUACGUGUUCUUUUGUCAUGGUUGUACUCCUUUUCCUUAUCACGUUCAUACAUGUACGUGCAGUUUGGCAUC